CGUGUUUAUGUGCGCGGGGCCCCACCGCCGGCCGUUUGUUCUCCCCGCGGGCCCGGAGCCGAAGGCAGACACGUCAGCUGGCCCCAGUUACACCUUGUUGACAGAACAAACUCUUGGGUCAGAAAGGAGAGACUUAACUGCCGCGGUGUAGACAGGGUCAACGUGUUUCUGUUCGUUCCCUGAAUACCAGUUCUCUCAGGAUCGAAGCAGAUGGGCUCAGAUGGAUGCUUGCACACGAAGUGGAUUGCACUACAGAAGAGAAUGCUGAACUUGAAGAACUCACUAUCUUAUAGUAAACGAUUUUUACUGACUUCUGCAAAUUGUCAGUCUCCACUCCUUACAGCUGCACAUGGCCCAAUAGGGGAAGGGAAACUCAGAGUCCCCGUGGGAAUACCCCACAAAGGACGUCUGCCAGGGGCAUUGAAGCCAGUCUCUGCUUCUGAUAUUCAUACAAGUAAGUACCAAUUCAGACACAUAUAGUAAAGUUCUGGGAAGAGGUAACUGGAAGGAAACCACACACCAACAAAAGAUGCUUAUGUCCUUAAUUCCACUUAAUCAAAUAAUUGAUUUGAUUCUUUUCAUUAGUUGAGACCAAAAACCCCUUGUCGAGAUCAUAGAAGACAUUACCAAAAUGCAAGGCUAGCCCAUAGUAUGGGGAGACCAGUUUGUGUGAUGAACUCUGUCAGCAAUCAAGGUUGUACUUUUUAUGCCCCACAGUUAGAAAACUGGGAAAGAAGAACAACUAGAUGUGUUCUCUGACUGUUAACAUGCACUUUUUUUUUUUUUU